rnacentral:rRNA from 1 species
GUAGGGUGCGAGCGUUAAUCGGAAUUACUGGGCGUAAAGCGUGCGCAGGCGGUUGUGCAAGACAGAUGUGAAAUCCCCGGGCUCAACCUGGGAAUUGCAUUUGUGACUGCACGGCUAGAGUGUGUCAGAGGGGGGUAGAAUUCCACGUGUAGCAGUGAAAUGCGUAGAGAUGUGGAGGAAUACCGAUGGCGAAGGCAGCCCCCUGGGAUAACACUGACGCUCAUGCACGAAAGCGUGGGGAGCAAACAGGAUUAGAUACCCUGGUAGUCCCACGCCCCUAAACGAUGUCAACUAGUUGUCGGGUCUUAAUUGACUUGGUAACGCAGCUAACGCGUGAAGUUGACCCGCCUGGGGAGUACGGUCGCAAGAUUA